CCCUCUUCAGUCUCAGGGUGUUUGUCCUUGAGACUGAAGCCCAAUAGACACUCUUCUACUAUGAUAUUUUGGGUCAUAGGAAACAAGCUUUAUGCUUUCCCUUCUCAUGUGCUGUUGACAGAUGGAUUGGUAGAAGUGUCCGGCCUAUUCCUAGUCUGUUUAGCAUUGACUGUGCACAUUUGGGAUUGUUGAAGGCCACACUGAUUCGUCUUCCUUUGCAACCUGUGAUUUCAUCCAGAAAUCACAUGGCUCACCAUGGAUUCUCAACAUCUGAAGAUGUGCUGUGCUGUUUGGAUCUCCCAGUUUUCACUCAUUCACCUCAACACUGGGUGGAAAUUCUUCAAUGACAGCAAGUGGAUGCUACUACUUAGCUCUGGAAACAUUUUCUACUUUCUAUAACAGCCUUUCCUAGUGUUUGCUUUUUCCAGUACAACUAAUAGUUAAGGUUGGAUAUGAUGCAUUAAUCUGCUAACUGUGUACUAAAGUUCUAGAUAUUUCCUUGGCACAUCAGUUUUUCCCAUUACUGCAGCCUUUCAGGGUAUUGUGGGCCAAAAUCUCUGCAAAUUAAUGGAGUGUGGGGGGGAAUCCCAUUAACAUUCCUCUUUCAUCUUCUAGAAAUUUGCUAGGAUUCCUCAGCCGCAAGUGGUAUUCUGUCUUUUCUCUUGCUUAUUCUUUUGUAUGUCCUGUAUUUUCCUUUCUAGCUUUUGCAUUCAAUCUACCCUCUUGCCAGAGCACUUAAAGUUUACUUCGGAUGACAUGGUUGAAAUAAAACUGCUACACUGAC